rnacentral:rRNA from 1 species
GAUGAACGCUAGCGGCAGGCCUAAUACAUGCAAGUCGAGGGGCAGCACGAGUAGCAAUACUUGGUGGCGACCGGCGCACGGGUGCGUAACACGUAUACAAUCUGCCUUUAACAGGGGGAUAGCCCGGAGAAAUCCGGAUUAAUACCCCAUAAUAAGUGAAACGGCAUCGUUUUAUUUUGAAAGCUCCGGCGGUUAAAGAUGAGUAUGCGCCUGAUUAGCUAGUUGGUGAGGUAACGGCUCACCAAGGCGACGAUCAGUAGGGGAUCUGAGAGGACUACCCCCCACACGGAUACUGAGACACGGAUCCGACUCCUACGGGAGGCAGCAGUAAGGAAUAUUGGACAAUGCCCGCAAGGGUGAUCCAGCCAUGCCGCGUGCAGGAAGACGGCCCUAUGGGUUGUAAACUGCUUUUACACCGGAGAAAACCCCUUCUCGUGAGGAGGGCUGAUAGUAUGGUGAGAAUAAGCAUCGGCUAACUUCGUGCCAGCAGCCGCGGUAAGACG